rnacentral:rRNA from 1 species
GACGAACGCUGGCGGCGUGCCUAAUACAUGCAAGUCGAACGCUGAAGAGAGGAGCUUGCUCUUCUUGGAUGAGUUGCGAACGGGUGAGUAACGCGUAGGUAACCUGCCUGGUAGCGGGGGAUAACUAUUGGAAACGAUAGCUAAUACCGCAUAAAAUGGAUUAUCGCAUGAUAAUCCAUUGAAAGGUGCAAAUGCAUCACUACCAGAUGGACCUGCGUUGUAUUAGCUAGUUGGUGGGGUAACGGCUCACCAAGGCGACGAUACAUAGCCGACCUGAGAGGGUGAUCGGCCACACUGGGACUGGGACACGGCCCAGACUCCUACGGGAGGCAGCAGUAGGGAAUCUUCGGCAAUGGACGGAAGUCUGACCGAGCAACGCCGCGUGGGUGAAGAAGGUUUUCGGAUCGUAAAGCUCUGUUGUAAGAGAAGAACGAGUGUGAGAGUGGAAAGUUCACACUGUGACGGUAUCUUACCAGAAAGGGACGGCUAACUACGUG